rnacentral:rRNA from 1 species
GACGAACCGUCCGAACGUUGUUCGGAAUUACUGGGCGUAAAGCGCACGUAGGCGGAUUAGAAAGUCAGAGGUGAAAUCCCAGGGCUCAACCUUGGAACUGCCUUUGAAACUCCUAGUCUUGAGGUCGAGAGAGGUGAGUGGAAUUCCGAGUGUAGAGGUGAAAUUCGUAGAUAUUCGGAGGAACACCAGUGGCGAAGGCGGCUCACUGGCUCGAUACUGACGCUGAGGUGCGAAAGCGUGGGGAGCAAACAGG